rnacentral:rRNA from 1 species
CCAACUGGGAUUGCCUUAGUAACGGCGAGUGAAGCGGCAACAGCUCAAAUUUGAAAGCUGGCGUCUUCGGCGUCCGCGUUGUAAUUUGUAGAGGAUGCUUCGGCGAGGGCUCCGGUUUAAGUUCCCUGGAACGGGACGUCAUAGAGGGUGAGAAUCCCGUAUGUGAUCGGUUGCCUAAGCCAUGUGAAGCUCCUUCGACGAGUCGAGUUGUUUGGGAAUGCAGCUCUAAAUGGGAGGUAAAUUUCUUCUAAAGCUAAAUACCGGCCAGAGACCGAUAGCGCACAAGUAGAGUGAUCGAAAGAUGAAAAGCACUUUGGAAAGAGAGUUAAAAAGUACGUGAAAUUGUUGAAAGGGAAGCGCUUGCAACCAGACUCGUCCGCAGUUGCUCAGCCGGUCUCCUGACCGGCGUACUCUUCUGCGGCCGGGCCAGCAUCAGUUCGGGCGGCCGGAUAAAGGCCUCGGGAAUGUAGCACCCUUCGGGGUGUGUUAUAGCCCGGGGUGGCAUGCGGCCAGCCUGGACUGAGGAUCUCGCUUCGGCUAGGAUGCUGGCGUAAUGGGUGUAAGCGGCCCGUCUUGAAACACGGACCAAGGAGUCUAACAUCUAUGCGAGUGUUUGGGUGUCAAACCCAUGCGCGUAAUGAAAGUGAACGGAGGUGGGAA